rnacentral:rRNA from 1 species
AGGGUUUGAUCCUGGCUCAGGAUGAACGCUAGCGGCAGGCCUCAUACAUGCAAGUCGAGGGGCAGCGGGACACUUCGGUGUUGCCGGCGACCGGCGAACGGGUGCGUAACACGUAUGCAACCUACCUUGUACAGGGAGAUAGCUUCCGGAAACGGAAAUUAAUAUCCCAUAUUGUCUUAUGAUCGCAUGGUCGUAAGAUGAAAGCUCCGGCGGUACAAGAUGGGCAUGCGUCCUAUUAGCUAGUUGGUAAGGUAAAAGCUUACCAAGGCAACGAUGGGUAGGGGGUCUGAGAGGACGGUCCCCCACACUGGCACUGAGAUACGGGCCAGACUCCUACGGGAGGCAGCAGUAGGGAAUAUUGGUCAAUGGGCGCAAGCCUGAACCAGCCAUGCCGCGUGCAGGAUGAAGGCCUACAUGGUCGUAAACUGCUUUUUUACGGGAGAAAUAAGCUUCUGCGGAAGCCGAUGAUAGUACCGUACGAAUAAGCACCGGCUAACUCCGUGCCAGCAGCCGCGGUAAGACGGAGGGUGCAAGCGUUAUCCGGAUUCACUGGGUUUAAAGGGUACGUAGGCGGUUUAGUAAGUCAAUGGUGAAAACUAACAGCUCAACUGUUAGCGUGCUGUUGAUACUGCCAGGCUUGAGUAUAGUAGAGGUGAGUGGAAUUCUACAUGUAGCGGUGAAAUGCAUAGAUAUGUAGAGGAACACCAAUAGCGAAGGCAACUCACUGGGCUAUUACUGACGCUGAGGUACGAAAGCGUGGGGAGCGAACAGGAUUAGAUACCCUGGUAGUCCACGCUGUAAACGAUGGUCACUCGAUGUACGUCCUUUGAGGCGUGCGUCCAAGCGAAAGCGUUAAGUGACCCACCUGGGGAGUACGUUCGCAAGAAUGAAACUUAAAGGAAUUGACGGGGAUCCGCACAAGCGGUGGAGCAUGUGGUUUAAUUCGAUAAUAUAUGUAUGGACCUUACCUAGGCUAAAUGUGUGUUGACACACUCAGAAAUGAGUGCUUCCGCAAGGACAAAGUGCAAGGUGUUGCAUGGCCGUCGUCAGCUCGUGCCGUGAGGUGUUUGGUUAAGUCCUAUAACGAGCGCAACCCCUAUGCUUAGUUGCCAGCACGUAAUGGUGGGAACUCUAAGCAAACUGCCUGCGAAAGCAGUGAGGAAGGAAGGGAUGAAGUCAAGUCAUCAUGGCUCUUACGCCUAGGGCUACACACGUGCUACAAUGGCGUGUACAACGAGUCGCUACCUGGUAACAGGAUGCUAAUCUCCAAAGCACGUCUCAGUUCGGAUUGAGGUCUGCAACUCGACCUCAUGAAGUUGGAAUCGCUAGUAAUCGCGUAUCAGCAAUGGCGCGGUGAAUACGUUCUCGGAUCUUGUACACACUGCCCGUCAAGCCAUGGAAGUCGGAAGGACCUAAAGAUGGUGACCGUAAAAGGAGCUGUUUAGGGUUAAAUCGGUAACUGGGGCUAAGUCGUAACAAGGUAGCCG